ensembl:rRNA 5S_rRNA 5S ribosomal RNA
GCUUACAGCCAAACCACACUGAACACGCCCGAUCUCGGAAGCUAACCAGUGCUGGGCCUGGUUAGUACUUGGAUGGGAGACCAACUGGGAAUACCAGGUGCUACCAGCU